GAAUGAGCCAACCAUUGUCCAUGGAUUUGACAUCUGGCAUGUUGUAAAAGGGAUGAAGAAAAAGCUUGAAGCUGCAGCCAAUUCCCGUGCAUGUGCUGCCCUAAAACAAUGGGUGCAGCAUAUUUGUAACCACCUUUACUGGUGUAGUGGCAACUCUGAGGGGAAUACAGAGUUUCUGCUUAGCAUGUGGAGAAGUUUGACCCGGCAUGUUAUCAACAUCCAUGACAGCCAUGACGGACCAUACAACCGUUGCCUCCACGGUGACCUUGGCGACCGGAGACCCUGGCUGCAGCCU